rnacentral:rRNA from 1 species
AGCGAACGCUGGCGGCAGGCUUAACACAUGCAAGUCGAGCGGGCGUAGCAAUACGUCAGCGGCAGACGGGUGAGUAACGCGUGGGAACAUACCUUUUGGUUCGGAACAACACAGGGAAACUUGUGCUAAUACCGGAUAAGCCCUUACGGGGAAAGAUUUAUCGCCGAAAGAUUGGCCCGCGUCUGAUUAGCUAGUUGGUGAGGUAACGGCUCACCAAGGCGACGAUCAGUAGCGGUCUGAGAGGAUGAUCAGCCACAUUGGGACUGAGACAUGGCCCAAACUCCUACGGGAGGCAGCAGUGGGGAAUAUUGGACAAUGGGCGGCAAGCCUGAUCCAGCCGUGCCGCGUGAGUGAUGAAGGCCCUAGGGUUGUAAAGCUCUUUUGUGCGGGAAGAUAAUGACGGUACCGCAAGAAUAAGCCCCGGCUAACUUCGUGCCAGCCGCCGCUGUAAC